rnacentral:rRNA from 1 species
UGGGGAAUUUUGGACAAUGGGGGCAACCCUGAUCCAGCAAUGCCGCGUGUGUGAAGAAGGCCUUCGGGUUGUAAAGCACUUUGUCCGGAAAGAAAUCGCCCUGGCUAAUAUCCGGGGUGGAUGACGGUACUGGAAGAAUAAGCACCGGCUAACUACGUGCCAGCAGCCGCGGUAAUACGUAGGGUGCGAGCGUUAAUCGGAAUUACUGGGCGUAAAGCGUGCGCAGGCGGUUGUGCAAGACAGAUGUGAAAAUCCCCCGGGGCUUAAACCUGGGAAUGGCAUUUGUGACUGCACGGCUAGAGUGUGUCAGAGGGGGGUAGAAUUCCACGUGUAGCAGUGAAAUGCGUAGAUAUGUGGAGGAACACCGAUGGCGAAGGCAGCCCCCUGGGAUAACACUGACGCUCAUGCACGAAAGCGUGGGGAGCAAACAGGAUUAGAUACCCUGGUAGUCCACGCCCUAAAGCGAUGUCAACUAGUUGUCGGGUCUUAAUUGACUUGGUAAA